CUUUUAUCCCGUGGUGAUUUGGCCGGUCGGCUUGCAGCCACGUAAAAAAAGUCGCUAAAAAGGCCGCGCUCGAUCCCGA
rnacentral:ncRNA from 2 species